GCGGGUGUGGCGGAACUGGUAGACGCACUGGAUUUAGGUUCCAGCGCCGCAAGGCGUGGAGGUUCGAUUCCUCUCACCCGCA
rnacentral:tRNA from 1 species